rnacentral:rRNA from 1 species
UACGUAGGGGGCAAGCGUUUGUCCGGAAUUAUUGGGCGUAAAGAGCGUGUAGGCGGCCAGAUAAGUCCGCUGUGAAAUCUCGAGGCUCAACUUCGAGCUGUCGGUGGAAACUAUCUGGCUAGAGUCCGGAAGAGGAGAAUGGAAUUCCUGGUGUAGCGGUGAAAUGCGCAGAUAUCAGGAAGAACACCCGUGGCGAAGGCGGUUCUCUGGGCCGAUACUGACGCUGGAGGAGCGAAAGCUAGGGGAGCAAACGGGG